CGCAUCUGUGCAUGCAGCAUAUCAAUAAGCGGAGGAAAAGAAACUAACAAGGAUUCCCCUAGUAACGGCGAGUGAAGCGGGAAGAGCUCAAAUUUGAAAUCUUAAAGGGUUUCCCUUUACGAAUUGUAGUUUAAAGAAGUGUUUUCUGUUGAGGUUUUGGUAAAAGUUCUUUGGAAUAGGACAUCAUAGAGGGUGAGAAUCCCGUAUUUGACCUUUACUUUCAACUUUGUGAUACACUUUCAAAGAGUCGGAUUGUUUGGGAAUGCAGUCCAAAAUGGGUGGUAAAUUUCAUCUAAAGCUAAAUAUUGGCGAGAGACCGAUAGCGAACAAGUACCGUGAGGGAAAGAUGAAAAGAACUUUGAAAAGAGAGUUAAACAGUACGUGAAAUUGUCAAAAGGGAAGCGUUUGACACCAGUGUUGUUUUUCUGAAAAUCAAUUAAAGAACUGUUUAUGCUAAGUUGUCUAGACUUUAUCAGCUAACUGUUUAGUUUUGAGCUUUUCUUUAAUGCACUUUUCAGUUAACAAGUCAACAUCAAUUUCUUUUGCUGUAAAAAAGCUUGAGGAAGGUGGCUUGAGAUUCGUCUUAAGUGUUUAUAGCCUCUUGCCUAUGCAGUCGGAGAGAUUGAGGUCUGCAGCGUAGAUCCUUCGGGGCUGAAUGCAUUUGUGCUAAGUUAUAGCAUUUUAUAGACAACUUGUUGACUAUGAUUUGUCUUGUAGCUUACUCGCUUAUGUUAUUUUACCUACGCUUAGGAUGUUGAACGCGCACAGAGUCUC
rnacentral:rRNA from 1 species